CUCAGCCCCAUGCAUGAACUCGGAUCUGUGCAAGUAGCAAGAAGCAUUUUCAACACUGUGGGCUGGUCUAGCAGUGAAUGGGGGGACUCAUGGGGUCUGUACCAGGCCCUGCCAUUGACUCAUCGUGGCCUUGGAUUGGAUGAGGCACAUCCUUGCCCUUCCGACUAAAACACCUAGAUCCUACUGGAAACCAGUACAAGUCACUCCCUCUCUGCAAGUUCAUCUUUGCGUCCCUGACACGUGGCUGUCGGCAGCUCAGUAUGCUGUGAUAGCAGAAGCUUCCACUAUGCUGGGUCUCAUGGGAUUUCUCUUUUUCGCCCUUCCCCUCUGGUGAAGAAUACUCUGCCCAUGGCUGUGUUUCUCACUCCAGUUUAUGCAGUAAGAUGGUUCAUCUCAAAGCAUCUUCCUUUUCCACUCCCUGUCGUGCAAGACUACUACCAUCAAAGCAAAUUGCUGAAGCAAGCAGAGCUGGCUUUGCCCCUGCUGGUGGAGAAGAGGGAAGGUAGCAACCGCUGCGCUAGGGAAGAGAGCUUCACGCUGCCGAGACCGUGCACGGGCUGCCUUCUCUACACUUCUUUGAGAAACGUGGUUGAUUUCUAAUACGUAUUGAAAGUGAUCUUGCUCCAGACAAAGAUCACAGUCGAGGCAUAGUCGAACCCUAGCCCUGCCAUGCCCGCUUGGCACUGUGGCCAUGCCCAGAGGCUAAAAACCCUCGUGAAAUGCUGCUGAUACACCCCCAAGCAUAAUCUGACCACAUCCCUCCCAUGCCCUGAUAGGCAUCAUUGAACGCCAACGCUGACAGGCUGCGAAGCUAAAUGCUUAAUUGAACCACCAUCCUGACACGGCCCCCUCCACAGA